AGAGUUUGAUCCUGGCUCAGGACGAACGCUGGCGGCGUGCCUAAUACAUGCAAGUCGAGCGGACUUUUUAAAAGCUUGCUUUUAAAAAGUUAGCGGCGGACGGGUGAGUAACACGUAGGCAACCUACCUUAUCGACUGGGAUAACUUCGGGAAACCGGAGCUAAUACCGGAUAACCAAUGGACAUGCAUAUGAACAUUGUAAAAGUUGGCGCAAGCUAACACGAUAAGAUGGGCCUGCGGCGCAUUAGCUAGUUGGUAAGGUAACGGCUUACCAAGGCGACGAUGCGUAGCCGACCUGAGAGGGUGAUCGGCCACACUGGGACUGAGACACGGCCCAGACUCCUACGGGAGGCAGCAGUAGGGAAUCUUCCGCAAUGGACGAAAGUCUGACGGAGCAACGCCGCGUGAGUGAUGAAGGUUUUCGGAACGUAAAGCUCUGUUGUUAGGGAAGAACAAGUGUUGAUCGAAUAGGUCGGCACCUUGACGGUACCUAACGAGAAAGCCACGGCUAACUACGUGCCAGCAGCCGCGGUAAUACGUAGGUGGCAAGCGUUGUCCGGAAUUAUUUGGGCGUAAAGCGCGCGCAGGCGGUCUCUUAAGUCCUGAUGUGAAAAGCCCACCGCUCAACCGUGGAGGGUCAUUGGAAACUGGGGGGACUUGAGUACAGAAGAGGAGAGUGGAUUUUCACGUGUAGCGGUGAAAUGGCGUAGAUAUGUGGGAGAAACAUCAUUGGUCGAGGCGACUCUUUGGUUUGUACUGACUCUUAGGCGCCGAAGCUUUGGGGAGCGAAGGGGAAGCGAAACAGGAAUUAAAUACCAUAGUAGUCCACGCCGAAACAAAGGAAUGCUAGGUGUUAGGGGGUUUCGAUGCCCUUAGUGCGGAAAUUAAAAACAUUAAACGCUCAGCCUGGGGGAGUACGGCCGCAAGGUGAAACUCAAAAGAAAUGACGGGGGCCCGCACAAGCGGUGGAGCAUGUGGUUUAAUUCGAAGCAACGCGAAGAACCUUACCAGGUCUCGACAUCCUUUGACCACCCUAGAGAUAGGGCUUUCCCCUUCGGGGGACAAAGUGACAGGUGGUGCAUGGUUGUCGUCAGCUCGUGUCGUGAGAUGUUGGGUUAAGUCCCGCAACGAGCGCAACCCUUAACCUUAGUUGCCAGCAUUUGGUUGGGCACUCUAAGGUGACUGCCGGUGACAAACCGGAGGAAGGUGGGGAUGACGUCAAAUCAUCAUGCCCCUUAUGACCUGGGCUACACACGUGCUACAAUGGAUGGUACAAAGGGCAGCGAAGCCGCGAGGUGGAGCCAAUCCCAUAAAGCCAUUCUCAGUUCGGAUUGCAGGCUGCAACUCGCCUGCAUGAAGCCGGAAUCGCUAGUAAUCGCGGAUCAGCAUGCCGCGGUGAAUACGUUCCCGGGCCUUGUACACACCGCCCGUCACACCACGAGAGUUUGUAACACCCGAAGUCGGUGGGGUAACCUUUUGGAGCCAGCCGCCUAAGGUGGGACAGAUGAUUGGGGUGAAGUCGUAACAAGGUAGCCG
rnacentral:rRNA from 1 species